AUGAUUUUCUUUGAACAGCAUGCAUAAUUUUUUAUUAAACUAGCAAAUAGUAUCAUCUUUGUCACCUUCCCACACCAUUUGACCGAUGAUGACACGACACCACGUACCCUUGCGAUCCAAAUCAAACUUAAAUAUCAAAAUCCAUCCGCUUGCAAUACCUAUUUUGACAAAGUGUUUUAUGUCACUGAAUAUGUAAUGACCCAUUUCUAUCGAUCCAAAGCACCCUUAGAAAUAAAUGUACCGGUGCUUGGUCAUUUUCAAAAAAAAAAAAAAAAAAAAAAACGCGACCCUUUCUUCUACCCUUCCAUUUCACAAGAGGAAUGUCGAUGUAGAUGCAGAGGGACAAGUGCCAAUGAAAUGGAUUAUAACAUAAAAGAUUGUCUUGUUGCUGAGUUGAUGGGCUUUGUGGACUUCUGAGGAGCUACCGGGCUUUAUGGAUCCAUAUUGGAAGUUUUGGGUUUGAUGUGUUGAAGACUUGGAUGGGUCAUGGAUACUUGAAGAUGGGUUUGGACUAUCCAUUUUGAUGCUAAAAUAUUAUUGGCCCAUAUAUGAAUGAUGUGAGGUGUGAAGGGGACCAAAGGAAUAUAUGGUAGUGGAGUGGAGUAGUGGAUGAAUCAAUCAAUGAGAAUUCAACAUCAUGUGGGCAGGGGGUCUUCAUCUGCACAACUCUAUGCGUCCACCCGCACAGCUUCCUUCCAAGGGUCAUUUUGGUCAUUUGGCCCAUCGGUUACCUUGGGGGUUAGGUCUUGCAACCCAUAUCUCGAUUUUGGACAUCAUUAGAGCAUCUAGGGGGAUUUUGGAGAGCUUGAAGCAUUCAUCGUCUCAUUCUUCUAGUAUUUGCUAAAUCUUUGAUGUUAAAACACUUUUAUGAUCAUUGUCUUGUUGUCAUGAGUGGCGAGUUAUUUUAUUUUGGUUGACUUAGGCUAAAACCCACGGGUAUUUGUGAGUUUUGAAGGAUUUAUGUUUGUUUAUCAUGUAUCUCAUGUUUAUGAUUCCUAGUUCUUAAUUUGUAUGCUUAUCUAAUACUUUGAUCA